GGCUGGCGGCGUCUUAGAUUACAGUCGAACGAACCUUCGGGUUAGUGGCGGACGGGUAGUAACGCGUAGAAUCUCUCAGAGGGGACAACAGCUGGAAACGGCUGCUAAUACCCCAUAUGCCGCGAGGUGAAAUGAAUUUCGCCUGAGGAUGAGCUCGCGUCUGAUUAGCUAGUUGGUGUAGGUAAUGGCUCACCAAUGCAUCGAUCAGUAGCUGGUCUGAGAGGAUGAUCAGCCACACUGGGACUGAGACACGGCCCAGACUCCUACGGGAGGCAGCAGUGGGGAAUUUUCCGCAAUGGGCGAAAGCCUGACGGAGACACGCCGCGUGAGGGAUGAAGGCCUCUGGGCUGUAAACCUCUUUUAUCAAGGAAGAAGAUCUUGACGGUACUUGAUGAAUAAGCCACGGCUAAUUCCGUGCCAAGCAGACGCGGUAAUACGGGA
rnacentral:rRNA from 1 species